GGCCGGGGCGCAACGGGCGGAGCGGCGCCGGUCCCACCGGUAACGAAGUUUGAGUUCGGCCUGGCAGGAGGGCGCGUGAGCCGGGCCAGGCCGGAGUGGAGGCCACCGGUGCUGAUGGAAACGGCCAGCACAAGUGACUGUUUGCAGGAUGUGUCGAAUUUUCUCAACAGAUGAUUGGAGAAAAUACACUGGCACUCUUCCUCUAGGAAGACGACAAGCUUUUCCUGGUGUCAUUUCAAAGAAUUCUUUGGCUGAUAACAGUCACCUUGUGCCCUCAACGUGCAGACGGGCAGUGCUGGGCUGAAGAUCGGGUCAUCUGGCUGUGACCUCUGUUGGAUCAGACACUGGACCACCUCUGUCGCUUUCAGUGGAGGGCUGGAAAUGCACACCUGUUCCACAACACACCUGCUUUGGUGUUGCAAAGGUAGCUGAUUUUUUAAAAGUCAGCUCCUCUCAAACUUUCAAAGAAGAUCCUAAAUUCUAUAUCUGAAAGAGGUAAAAUAUAAAUUAGUAGUUAGGUGAGCUAUGAACCAUAAAAGGCUCCUAUCCACAGCUGAUUGCCUGGUCUGGGUGUCAUUCUAUAUGAAGAAACAGUGAGGGGAAUGUGCUUUUGCUUCACUUAAGUUAUUUAAGAACUUUUCUAUAUUUACUCCAAUCUUGUUAAAAAUUUUAAUUUCUUUGCACAGUGUUCAAUUUCUUAAAAAAAAAAAAAAAAAGCCCAAUGCAUGUGGUACCACACAAAUCUUUAUACCGAAGUUUUAUUUACUUAUCUCUCUCCCACAUCAACUCACAGAAUUUGAUGGGAUCACUCACUUGAGCUAUAGAAGAUCUAAAACUCUGGCCAGUGCAAAUGCAUUUCACUCGAGAACACUGAAAAUGUUCAGCAGGUUUCACUUGCUCACCAAAAUAAAUAUAUAAAUUUAAACUUUAAAAAUGUAAAGUAUAGUAUUUGUAUGAACAGCCCACUUAAACUGCCAG